CUGCAGAUGUCUGACGUAAUGAGAAUGCGUGAGCCACCACGCCCGGACUUAACUUUCUAAAUUAACUGACACCAUCUCAGAUAUUCAGGGUUCACAAAGGCUUGGAGGGGCCUGCAAAUAUAUACAAUUAUAGAAUUAAAUAGUGAUGGAUAGAGUCCCUUAUUCAAAAAUACUGUUAUAAAUUAAGUUAAAAUAUUAAAGUCAAAGAAACUUCACACCCAUAAUCGCAAUGCUUUCAGAAGAUGGAGGAUUAUUUUGAGCUCAGGACUUUGAGAGCAGCUUGGGCAACACAGCAAGAUGCCAUUUCUACAAAAAUUUUUCAAAAAUAGCUGGGCAUGGUGGUGUGUACAUGUGGUCCCAGCUACUGGGGAGGUUGAGGCGGGAGGAUCACUUGAGCCCAGGAGUUUGAGGCUGCAGUGAGAUGUGCUCAAAUCACUGCACUCCAGCCUGGCUGAGAGACCAAGACCUUAUCUCUUAAAGAAAGAAAAUAGGCGGCUGGGUCCGGUGACUCACGCCUGUAAUCCCAGCCAGGGCACGCGAAUCACCUGAGGUCAGGAGUUCGAGACCAGUCUAGCGAACAUGGUGAAACUCCGUCUCUACUAAAAAUACCAAUAUUAGCCAGGCAUGGUGGCAGGUGCCUAGAAUUCCAGC
ensembl:lncRNA DHRSX-IT1 DHRSX intronic transcript 1